rnacentral:lncRNA from 1 species
UGGAACUUAAUAACUAAAGGCAAAGGAGAAAAGCUAAGAAUAAUGACGGAACAAACCUAAGCUGAAGGAUAAUUAAAGUUAUAAACAAGUGCUUACAAGACUAUUGAGCUCCUGCUCGGAUGAACAUACUAUAGGACCCCUCUCUCGGCCUGCAUCCCUAGCACCGCGGAGCUGGCCUAAGGCCUGUUGCAGAGGUUCCAUUUCCUUUCUUUUCUCAUCAAUAGUACUCCGACCACGGAGCUGGCCCAAGGCCUGUUGCAGAGGUUCCAUUUCCUUUCGUUUCUCAUCAAUAGUACUCCAAAAUUCCUUAUUCUCAGCACUGAGAGAUUUCCUUUGUUCAAUUACCUUCGAUCGUUCUGCCUGCAAAUACCAAGGAGUUAUAUGAUUAUAGCUGUCAUACUUCCACAAGAACAGGAUUUGGACAAAAUGCAACUAACAAAAAGGACCAUGCAAUAGGCGAUAUCAACUUUACGUAGCUUGCUGAAUUAUAUUUUCAAGUUCAAAUUGUAGGACAUAAUAAUCUGAAAAAAUAAGUCACUAAGCAUGAGUCUAUUGCAACUUCUGUUACCAUCCUUUUUCUUGCACUUAUCGACGUCCAACUGGGAACUAUAUAUUGCUUUGCUGAGUUUUAUCCCUGAAGUCAUCCAUCACUUUACCAAAGUGUUCUCUCCGGUAAGAGAACAAUUUGGCAUGCAAGAGAAAAGUUCUCUUUUUAAGUAAGAGACGCAGCUUGCAGUUUCAAACACUUAACACGGAUAUGUGCAUGCAAGAAUUGAACUGCAGAUCAAGG